rnacentral:lncRNA from 1 species
CAAACACCUCUUCAAUUGUUUCGGUUCUUAUUUUUCUUGACUUUCAAAUUUCAGUUUCAGCGUUCCGUAGGUGAAUUCUUUACUUAAAAUUCAGCGUUUUACAUUGUACUGGUUUUUCGAGAGCAACAUUGGUGUACGGCCAAAAAUGGAAAAAUCCAUCAUGCAGCUGACAGUGUGGCUUCUCUUUACACGCCCCAUUCUGACUGGAUGUACAUGUGUUCUUUU